GAGGACUGUCACCCCCUUCCUCCUAUUCAAUUUCUGCAUGAAGUCUCUAAAUCAAUAACAGAGAAGGGGAGAGGAAAAAGGAAAGAAAAACUCCCACCUAAUGGCCAUUUUCAGAGCAGCCGCAGAACCAUGUGACACAGCUGACCGAGGCAGCAUUGCAGAUACAUUUGUGUGCCUGCAGAUCUCAGGUACACGAUACAGGAAACAGACCCAUCCAAAGCCGUUUGGGGUUUUAUCAAGGGGUCAUUUAAGAUGCAGAGCAACUUGAAAUCGCCCAUCUGUUGGAGAGCCGUGCGUGCUGACAGAGGCUCUAGAAUUGGGCGCCACUCUGUGCCAGGCGGCUGGGGCUAGACCCCGCUCCCCGGCUGAUGCUGUCCUGCCCCAGGGAUGCCUGGCCAGGCUCUUGCUGUGUCCACCACGCUCCAUCCACACCCCUCCAUCACAUUUCACCAGGGGCCCGGGCCAGAGACGCAUCCGACAUCCCAUCUGGGAACAACGGCCUCAAAGAAUGGGGAGCAGCGAGGGCCGCCAGACACUGAGUCCUUCUGGAUCUUUCUGGCCAGGCUCCUUCCCUGGCAUCUGGGCUCGGUGGGGGUGGUCUGCCCCCUCAUUCCCGCAGACCCUGGCCCCUGGCAGGGCCCCCAGUCUCCACCUGCCCUGUCUGUUUCCUCCCCAGUGUAACUAUGCUGUAGAAAUAUAUUUUGGCCACACCCUGCAUGAAGGUUCCAGUCUCUGUGUCUGUGGGAAGGGCUAAUCUGCGGCAAGAAGUGGUCCCUGGGAUGGAAAGAUCCUGACACAACGGAGUCCCAGGUGAGUCUGUGCGGCCGACAGCAUGCGGCAGAGUGCAGAUGGGUCACUUCCGAAACUGGGCUGGACAUGCCAGGUCUCCCUCCUGGUUGCUCUGUCUCCUGGGUCACGGGCUUGGGUGAAGCCAGCAGCCAUGCCGUGGGAACUCAGGCGACGCGAGAACAGAGCGAUCUCCCGAGGUGCACGGGACUCCAGACAACAGCCCGCAAGGACCAAAGCCUGCCAGCAGCUGUGCAGGACCCUCGAAAAGUCUCCUGGGGCCAAUAGAGCCCUCACACGGCAGCAGACUCUGGGGGCCUUGGGAGGAGUGGCUGCAUUUUGCUGGGAGAAUCACAGAAUCUCUGGGGCCUGAGGGCCCGGGACGGCCCAGAGACAAGGAGGUACUCAAAGCUGUGUGUCGUCCUCCCAUGCCGGGCCAGGUGUGUCCAUGUGACCAGAGCACAAGUGGAUGCCACUCCUGAGUCCAGGGCCUGAAGGACCCUGUGGCUUCCCUCUGGGUCACUCUGUCUGCCUUGGGUCACUCGUCCUGAAGGAAGCCAGCCACUGCGUGCGGGGCCCUGCGUGGAGAGGCCCUCAUGGUGAGGAGACGUCCGGCCCACAGCCACGAGGAGCC
rnacentral:lncRNA from 1 species